ensembl:lncRNA SYT9-AS1 SYT9 antisense RNA 1
GCACAGCUCCGGUUGCGGGGAGGCCCGGGUGGGUACCCGGCGCUCCGGCUCCCAGUCUCCUGGGCUUCUCCAGUCCUUCAGCGCCGUUCUCCGGUCACAGGGAAUGAAAGCGAGGAAGAAGGAAACGGUGUCGAGAAUUGCGAAGAGAGAAAGCAUAGAAAACCCACAUUAGAGGCACUCCCAGAGCAGAAACCCUUCGGAGCAUCCCGACUUCCUCGGCCCGCGUGCAAUCCAGGCAAAAUUGAGGUUGUCUCUGAGCCGCCCUCCCUAAGCAGGUCGGAAAGCCCCCGAAUCAUCCCAGGUCCCGCCGCGCUGCACUCGCAACCUGGGGUGGAGGUCCCUCUAGUGGUUGGCACCAAACAAAAGUUCUGUCUUAUGAAGAGCCGAGGUCAGGAAGCAUUUCCCUGUGCCCAGCGCCAAGGUCUGGGACCUUAGGUCCAAGAAAAGCGUUGGCAAUGUCUGACCACAGGAAUGGGUUCUCGAACUGGGGAGGACUGAAGCUGGAGAUCUGGUCCAGCCCCUACCUCCAGCGUGUGGCCUGAACCCGUUUUGGUUGUACUGCUAUGUUGUGGCCCUGCCCAGGCCUCCAAGGACUGGCUGCUGUUAAGCUGUUUAAAAUCCCUGUAGGCCUCAGAUGGCAGCGACACCAGGGACUCGGCAUAGUCCCCAGCUCUGGCAGGAGUCACCACAGCCCUAGCCUUUAGUUCUCUACAGGCUGGAGUGUCGACAAACUCCACAGGACACAACUUUUUCAAACCAAAUUUACCCUCGCGGUCUGAAAUGACCAGUAGGCCCAGGAGAAUUUUACAUGUGAACAGAACCUAACCCACCCUGGCAAAUAUGAGACGUGUGGUCACUGCGGGAACCUGGCCAGCAGCAGACCAAAGCACAGCCAGCAGGGGAAGGCUGGGGCCCGCAAGAGUUGUGUUACAACAGGACACCCUUCAGUUCUCUUUCACUUCCUUAAAAUAGCAGCAGAGCGACUUUUGUAGACGCAGGCUGCCACAGUUCACACAAGGUCAUGGCUGUUUCCGAAUCCCACCCUUUAUUGCCCUAGCGGAGCCACUCCCCUUACCUCCGCCCCCAGAAACUGCUAGCCUGUUCUUAAAUUGAUACAGUUACCUUUUUAAAUGUUCUAAGUCACCGGCUCUGGAGCUUCUUUGCACUUUGGAACCAACUUGCGGGAAGGAACUUUAAAAAUACUGAUAUCUCGAUCCAUCCCCAGAGGUUCUGAUUUAAUGGUCUUGGGGAUAUGGCCACGGCAUGAGGACUGUUAAAACUCCGCAGGUGAUUCUUAUGUGCAACAAAGUUUAAGAACCACUGAUGUAGGCCAUGUCGAUGUCAGUCUUCACUUAAAUCCAACAAGACCCCAGAGCUAAAACGUUCACCUGAAAGAAACCCCAUUCCCAGGCCUGCAUACUGACCUGCGCUGGCUCACAAGAAGCAAAGUGGUCCCUUAACAGGGGCUUCCUGGAGAAAAUGUCUUGACCUAAAAGAGUGAUUCGAGCUGCAGGGAUUUAAGAGAGACAGGGCCUUGCUCUGUCACCCAGGCUGAAAUGCAGUGUUGCAAUCUUGGCUCGCUGUAGCCUCAAGCUCUUGGACUCAGGCGAUUCUCCUAUCUCAGCUUCCUAAGUAGCUGGGACUACAGGGCUCAGUGUGGUCAAAAGAAGACUAUAGAAUCAAGGAUGAAGAGAAGGAACACAGAAUAAAAGGACGUCUCAGCAGGAAGCUCUGUGACUACUAUGUGACCGAGCUGAAGAAGCCCCCGUCUUCCAGCGCAUGUUAUUCCCAUGACAGAUGCUAAAAGUUCAAGGGGAGAGCUACAAGAAGUGCGUUUUCCUGUGGCUACUUUCAUGUCUGGAUGCAAUGCCUAGACCUGCAUCCAUCUUGCGACCAACCUGAAGAUGAACAGAAAGGAAGGAAGGAUGGCCCAAUAGCCUGGGAAGAACUGGUGUUCCUGAUACCAUCAUUAACCACAGAAUCUACAAUCCCGGAACCCCCCAUCCUUAACCAUGGAAUCUACAAUCCUAUCUCUAGACCCUUUGUCCAGAUGCUACAGUUUCUUUGUUCAAUCUAGUUUGUGUCAGGAUUUCUGUUCAUUACAUCAAAAGUAUUCUAAUACUUGUAGCAAAGCAACUGGAGAAGUUUUCACUUUGUCUUUAACCAAAGAAGACUUCCAGGAAACAUCUCCUCAGUGGGUUUCUCCCUCACCACUGGAUUUUUAUCUCUGUACUAGUGCUUUGAUUUGUUUUAGGAGUCUCACCUCUCCACCUGUCAUAUUUCCCUGGCAGGCUCAUUUCUGCUAAUGCCCACAAUAUGUGUAUCAAUGAGCUUUCAACGUUAGGUACACAGCUCUUCAGGCAUGUAUAGCACAUUAAUCUGUCUGCUUCUAAGUGGUCUGUUGACAUGUUUGGGUGCCAGUUAUAUCUACAAGGCUGUGAUCAUUGUCCUGGGUUAUUCUGUUUGUUCUCUCUGCAGGAUGCAUUAGGACACCCAAGGCCAUGGCCAUCACUUACAUCUAGGAUUCAAUCUUAUCUCCUGUGAAUCACUGGAAACCUCCUGUCCUGGAACCCUUUUUUUCCACAUCCCACUGGAUGUCAUUCAUAGCAACUGGUCUUGUGGGUUGUCUAUUUUAUUGUGUUGUCUUACUCUUCCUCCUGGUAUCAGUUUUUAAAUCCUCUUGAUGAGAUCAGCUGAUCAGUCGCUAAGCAACAUAGUCCCCCAUGUCUUUGUAAGAUUCUCUGCACUCAUGGCUAGAAUGAUUUAUUCUGGUAUCUUAAGCUGUGUUUCAGAACCUCAUUCUAAAUAUCAACCUAUUCUUGUAAGUCCACUACUGAUCAUCUUUAGAUAUUCUUCAGUCUUCCAGAGUUCCAAAGGGCAGUAGGAAGAAGCAAUGAAAAUACCACCUGUAUUCUCACAUCUUUCAUUGUUCCACUCAAAAAAUACCACCAUGUUCACUUCUGGUGGAACGUUUAUGUCCAUGAGAAGCAGUGGCUUUGAAGAGUUUUGGCAGACUAUGGCGCCUUACUCAACAUUGGGAAGGUAUCUUGCCAUCAGACCUUUUGGGUCUCCAUGAAACUUCUUAUACCCCCUCUGGGAAAAGUCACUAACUGUGAUCUUACUGAGCUUCUAAACACAGCAUUUUUUUUACACUUAAGUGAGCGGGGGUCCUCCUCAUUUGUGCUUCUCUUCUUGUAAGGGUGACUUCCUCCCAGUAGGAUGAAUCUCAUGCCUAUUUGUGUUAUUUUGCUAAUUCCAGCUUCUUUUCUACUCAGGGGGGUUCCAACUCUUUUAAGGUCUCAUCUUCAGCACUUCUAAACUGUGGGAAACUAUGUGAAAACAAAUGGAGUGGCCAAACACACCAUUCAUCACUGUGCUUCUGGACAGCUGCAAGUCCAUACGUGUUCUGGUGAGUCUUCAGGUUGUACGGGAACAGAGGCUGAAUCAAGGCAGUUCAGUGAGAGUCUAGAUGGGAGUGCUUAUGGUGUUCUAUAAUAAAGUACUUAUGGAACAAUAAUAGAAAUGGAUUCUUAGAGAAGCCCAAGAGAAGGAACUAUGAUUGCCUCAUUUCCCUGACAUUUCUAAGUUUGGUGGCAUAAUCUAAUUGACCCAACCCACCUUGGGGUGCCAGGCCAUGUCAUAAGUCACUGGACAGCCCAUAAACAGCUUUCUGGGAGCAUGUCCCCAUCUUGAUCCAAUCACCUGUGGCCAGGACAUUUUACAAACCUCGGUGGUUAGGGCUGCUUGUUCAACAGAUAUUAGGGGUGAAGUUGUACAUGCAUGCAGGGGAGGCUGAGAUGGUAGGCACCGUGAAUAACAUGUUCCAGGGUGGGCUCUGCCUCUUGUCUGCUCUGUAACAUACCCCUGCUUCCUUGUCCUGACCUCUCAUUUGCUAAAGUCUGAUUUCCAGCUUUGAAGUCUCUGCUCAAUCUCUCCAGCCUUCUGCUCAUGUCUUCACCUCCUACCUUGCAGCCUGUCUUUUGACUUGAUGUUGCUUGACUGCAAUUCCUGUGACUUGGCCUUGGGGUCCACUCCCAUGAAAUGCUUCUCUGGCAGCCUUGGCAGGUGUGUCCCAGUGUUCCUGAGUUCCAGUGUUCCUGGCUGUGUCCUUGCACCAGAGCAGGCUGCUUGAGAUUAGACACGCUCCUCCCUCCUAUCAGUCCACCUUGGCUCUGACACUUUCCUCAGCCUCCUUUUCUUUGUCUGCUGGAGCACAGCAAAGUUUCCCAGAAGGUUUAAAUUUACAUUCUUGGUCAAGGUCUCACACCAUCAUGACACUGAAGCAGAUAGAGUGACUUCCUUCUCUUCUAAGCUGUGUGCAUGCCUCCAUGCCCCUACUAGUUUGUAUAAUUCCAGUUUCUAUAAUUUCUUCCAUUCUUUCCUGAAACUUUGUGCUUUCUGUUAAAGUAGGUUUUUAGGGAUAUUUUUCAGGUCGGUUCAUCCC